UAUCAAAAACUAUGGAAUCUUCUCACUGUUCUCAGUCCUCUCCUCUCCAUCCCGUUAGUCUCACAAAAAUCCCCCCUUUUCCUUUUCCCUUUCCCCAAAUCAACCCUAGCAGAAGCAGAUCUCACAUUCUUUUAUUCUCAAAUCUUAAACCCAGCAGAAGCCAACGCCUUCCACUCUCUUUCUCUCAAAACCCCCAUUUUUUUUCUUUAUUUCGUUUGCCUUUGAUCUGAUUGUCUCCGCCUCUCCGGUCUCCAGUUUCCAGUCUCCACUCCUCUGCUUUGUUUGCUGGAUUCUUUCAUUAGUGGUCAGUUAAAUAAUAUUGAACUUGCUGUUAAUCUUGCAACUGGUGCUGAAAAUCUUCCAGCACUAUACAUCCGAAUUGGUGUAUAUAUUAAUUCUUGAACCGCUGGAUACAUGCCGAGGAAGAUCAAAGCAAUGAGGUCAUGUUUAGUUUAUAUAACACACCAACAAAUUAUUUGUUUUAAGUUUGUUAAUUUUUAGUUAAUGAAAUUCUAUGGACAUAAUUGUAUUGUAUUGUAUUUUUAAGUUAUUUAAAUCAUGUAUGAAUUUUUAUUUGAAUCAUGUAUUUUAAGUGUUUGGACAUUUGUAUUGUUUA